AGUGAACGCUGGCGGUAGGCCUAACACAUGCAAGUCGAACGGCAGCACAGUAAGAGCUUGCUCUUACGGGUGGCGAGUGGCGGACGGGUGAGGAAUACAUCGGAAUCUACUUUUUCGUGGGGGAUAACGUAGGGAAACUUACGCUAAUACCGCAUACGUCCUACGGGUGAAAGCAGGGGAUCUUCGGACCUUGCGCGAUUGAAUGAGUCGAUGUCGGAUUAGCUAGUUGGCGGGGUAAAGGCCCACCAAGGCGACGAUCCGUAGCUGGUCUGAGAGGAUGAUCAGCCACACUGGAACUGAGACACGGUCCAGACUCCUACGGGAGGCAGCAGUGGGGAAUAUUGGACAAAGGGCGCAAGCCUGAUCCAGCAAUACCGCGUGGGUGAAGAAGGCCUUCGGGUUGUAAAGCCCUUUUGUUGGGAAAGAAAAGCAGCAGGUUAAUACCCCGCUGUUCUGACGGUACCCAAAGAAUAAGCACCGGCUAACUUCGUG
rnacentral:rRNA from 1 species